GACGAACGCUGGCGGCGUGCUUAACACAUGCAAGUCGAACGGAAAGGCCCUGCUUUUGUGGGGUGCUCGAGUGGCGAACGGGUGAGUAACACGUGAGUAACCUGCCCUUGACUUUGGGAUAACUUCAGGAAACUAGGGCUAAUACCGGAUAGGAGCUCCUGCUGCAUGGUGGGGGUUGGAAAGUUUCGGCGGUUGGGGAUGGACUCGCGGCUUAUCAGCUUGUUGGUGGGGUAGUGGCUUACCAAGGCUUUGACGGGUAGCCGGCCUGAGAGGGUGACCGGCCACAUUGGGACUGAGAUACGGCCCAGACUCCUACGGGAGGCAGCAGUGGGGAAUAUUGCACAAUGGGCGGAAGCCUGAUGCAGCAACGCCGCGUGCGGGAUGACGGCCUUCGGGUUGUAAACCGCUUUCGCCUGUGACGAAUCGUGAGUGACGGUAAUGGGUAAAGAAGCACCGGCUAACUACGUGCCAGCAGCCGCGGUGAUACGUAGGGUGCGAGCGUUGUCCGGAUUUAUUGGGCGUAAGGGCUCGUAGGUGGUUGAUCGCGUCGGAAGUGUAAUCUUGGGGCUUAACCCUGAGCGUGCUUUCGAUACGGGUUGACUUGAGGAAGGUAGGGGAGAAUGGAAUUCCUGGUGGAGCGGUGGAAUGCGCAGAUAUCAGGAGGAACACCAGUGGCGAAGGCGGUUCUCUGGGCCUUUCCUGACGCUGAGGAGCGAAAGCGUGGGGAGCGAACAGGCUUAGAUACCCUGGUAGUCCACGCUGUAAACGGUGGGUACUAGGUGUGGGGUCCAUUCCACGGGUUCCGUGCCGUAGCUAACGCUUUAAGUACCCCGCCUGGGGAGUACGGCCGCAAGGCUAAAACUCAAAGGAAUUGACGGGGCCCCGCACAAGCGGCGGAGCAUGCGGAUUAAUUCGAUGCAACGCGUAGAACCUUACCUGGGUUUGACAUGGAUCGGGAGUGCUCAGAGAUGGGUGUGCCUCUUUUGGGGUCGGUUCACAGGUGGUGCAUGGCUGUCGUCAGCUCGUGUCGUGAGAUGUUGGGUUAAGUCCCGCAACGAGCGCAACCCUUGUUCACUGUUGCCAGCACGUUAUGGUGGGGACUCAGUGGAGACCGCCGGGGUCAACUCGGAGGAAGGUGGGGAUGACGUCAAGUCAUCAUGCCCCUUACGUCCAGGGCUUCACGCAUGCUACAAUGGCUGGUACAGAGAGUGGCGAGCCUGUGAGGGUGAGCGAAUCUCGGAAAGCCGGUCUCAGUUCGGAUUGGGGUCUGCAACUCGACCUCAUGAAGUCGGAGUCGCUAGUAAUCGCAGAUCAGCAACGCUGCGGUGAAUACGUUCCCGGGGCU
rnacentral:rRNA from 1 species